GUGAACGCUGGCGGUCGGCCUAACACAUGCCAGUCGAACGGCAGCACAGUAAGAGCUUGCUCUUACGGGCGGCGAGUGGCGGACGGGUGACGUAUACAUCGGAAUCUACUCUUUCGUGGGGGAUAACGUAGGGAAACUUACGCUACUACCGCAUACGACCUACGGGUGAUAGCAGGGGUACUUCGGCCCUUCCGCGAAUGAAUGACCCGCUGCCGGAUUAGCUAGUUGGCAGGGUAAAGGCCCGCCAAGGCGACGACCCGUAGCUGGUCUGAGAGGAUGAUCAGACACACUAGAAGUGAGACACGGUCCAGACUCGUACGGGAGGCAGCAGUGGGGAAUAUAGGACAAUGGGCGCAAGCCUGGUCCAGCCAUACCGCGUGGGUGAAGAAGGCCUUCGGGUUGGAAAGCCCUUUUGUUGGGAAGGAAAAGCAGCAGGUUAAUACCCCGCUGUUCUGACGGUACCCAAAGAAUAAGCACCGGCUAACUUCGUG
rnacentral:rRNA from 1 species